CCUACGGGAGGCUGCAGUGAGGAAUAUUGGUCAAUGGGCGCUAGCCUGAACCAGCCAAGUAGCGUGAAGGAUGACUGCCCUAUGGGUUGUAAACUUCUUUUAUAUGGGAAUAAAGUGCAGUAUGUAUACUGCUUUGCAUGUACCUUCUGAAUAAGGAUCGGCUAACUCCGUGCCAGCAGCCGCGGUAAUACGGAGGAGCCGAGCGUUAUACGGAUUUAUUGGGUUUAAGGGGAGCGUAGGCGGGUUGUUAAGUCAGUUGUGAAAGGUUGCGGCUCAACCGUAACAGUGCAGUUGAUACGGGCAUCGUUGAGUACAGUAGAGGUAGGCAGAAUUCGUGGUGUAGCGGUGAAAUGCUGAGAUAUGACGAAGAACGCCGAUUGCGAAGGCAGCCUGCGGGACUGUAACUGACGCUGAUGCUCGAAAGUGUGGGUAUCAAACAGGAUUAGAUACCCCAGUAGUC
rnacentral:rRNA from 1 species